GAUGAACGCUAGCGACAGGCUUAACACAUGCAAGUCGAGGGGCAGCGGGGGUGAUGGCUUGCCAUCACCUGCCGGCGACCGGCGCACGGGUGAGUAACACGUAUGCAACCUGCCCGCCACAGGGGGAUAAGCGGAAGAAAUUCCGUCUAAUACCGCGUGACGCGGCGUCGGGGCAUCCCGGUGCCGCCAAAGGGAUUACCGGUGGCGGAUGGGCAUGCGGCGCAUUAGCUAGUCGGCGGGGUAACGGCCCACCGAGGCGACGAUGCGUAGGGGUUCUGAGAGGAAGGUCCCCCACACUGGUACUGAGACACGGACCAGACUCCUACGGGAGGCAGCAGUGAGGAAUAUUGGUCAAUGGGCGGGAGCCUGAACCAGCCAAGUCGCGUGAGGGAUGACGGUCCUACGGAUUGUAAACCUCUUUUGCCGGGGAGCAAGCGUGCGUUCGUGAACGCGCGUCAAGAGUACCCGGAGAAAAAGCAUCGGCUAACUCCGUGCCAGCAGCCGCGGUAAUACGGAGGAUGCGAGCGUUAUCCGGAUUUAUUGGGUUUAAAGGGUGCGUAGGCGGGAUGCCAAGUCAGCGGUAAAAAUGCGGUGCUCAACGCCGUCGAGCCGUUGAAACUGGCGUUCUUGAGUGGGCGAGAAGUAUGCGGAAUGCGUGGUGUAGCGGUGAAAUGCAUAGAUAUCACGCAGAACUCCGAUUGCGAAGGCAGCAUACCGGCGCCCUACUGACGCUGAGGCACGAAAGCGUGGGUAUCGAACAGGAUUAGAUACCCUGGUAGUCCACGCAGUAAACGAUGAAUGCUAACUGUCCGGUGCGAGUGAGCGCUGGGCGGUACAGCGAAAGCGUUAAGCAUUCCACCUGGGGAGUACGCCGGCAACGGUGAAACUCAAAGGAAUUGACGGGGGCCCGCACAAGCGGAGGAACAUGUGGUUUAAUUCGAUGAUACGCGAGGAACCUUACCCGGGCUCAAACGCAGGAUGACGGGUCCCGAAAGGGGCCUUUCUUCGGACAUUCUGCGAGGUGCUGCAUGGUUGUCGUCAGCUCGUGCCGUGAGAUGUUGGGUUAAGUCCCGCAACGAGCGCAACCCUCGUGAUUAGUUGCCUCCUGGAGGAACUCUAAUCAGACUGCCGUAGUUAAUACGGAGGAAGGUGAGGAUGAUGUCAAAUCAUCACGUCCCUUAUGUCUUGGGCUACACACGUACUACAAUGGGCGUUACAAAGAGAAGCGAAACCGCGAGGUGGAGCAAAACUGAAAAAGGCGUCCCUAGUUCGGAUCGCAGGCUGCAACCCGCCUGCGUGAAGUUGGAAUUGCUAGUAAUCGCGGAUCAGCAUGCCGCGGUGAAUACGUUCCCGGGCCUUGUACACACCGCCCGUCACACCAUGGGAGCCGGUAAUGCCCGAAGUCAGUAGCCUAACCGCAAGGGAGGCGCUGCCGAAGGUAGGAUUGGCGACUGGGGUG
rnacentral:rRNA from 1 species